UACAGAGGUCCCAAGCGUUGUUCGGAUUCACUGGGCGUAAAGGGUGCGUAGGUGACCAGGUAAGUUCGGUGUGAAAGCUCGGAGCUUAACUCCGAAAUGGCAUUGAAUACUAUCUGGCUGGAGGGUCGGAGGGGAGACUGGAAUUCUCGGUGUAGCAGUGAAAUGCGUAGAUAUCGAGAGGAACACCAGUGGCGAAGGCGAGUCUCUGGACGACUCCUGACACUGAGGCACGAAAGCCAGGGGAGCAAACAGG
rnacentral:rRNA from 1 species